rnacentral:pre_miRNA from 1 species
AGUGCACCAGUGGGGUCCCUCGGCCUGGCCUGCACCCUCUCGCAAUCUGGGACCCCUCGGGGGAUAUCAGAGCUGGUUUGGGCCCGAUCCUGCAGGCCAGGCUGAGGGACCCCACUGGUGCAUG